rnacentral:lncRNA from 1 species
GUGAUUUCUUGGGUUGGUUGAGCAUGAACUUAUUUAUUUUAUAUGUGGUUUGGAAUGUUCAAAACUACAAGAAUAAUGGCUGAAAGGCUAUUACUGUAGUAAUAUUAUAAUAAGAUAACCAUUUCUGCUGUAUUCAAAUCUUUUUCGAUGAGUGCAUUUUCAAAAAAUUGAGUUAAAAAAAUUAUUUUAUUAAGAAUAGCAGUGGAACUCAUUACUACAUGGGCAGA